rnacentral:rRNA from 1 species
CAGGACGAACGCUGGCGGCGUGCCUAAUACAUGCAAGUCGAACGGUCUUUCUAUGGAAGCUUGCUUCCACUGAGAAGAUAGUGGCGAACGGGUGAGUAACACGUGGGUAACCUGCCCAUAAGAGGGGGGAUAACAUCCGGAAACGGGUGCUAAUACCGCAUAGUUUUCUUGAUCGCAUGAUUGGGAAAGGAAAGACGGCCUUUGUGCUGUCGCUUAUGGAUGGACCCGCGGCGUAUUAGUUAGUUGGUGAGGUAACGGCUCACCAAGACGAUGAUACGUAGCCGACCUGAGAGGGUGAUCGGCCACAUUGGGACUGAGACACGGCCCAAACUCCUACGGGAGGCAGCAGUAGGGAAUCUUCCGCAAUGGACGAAAGUCUGACGGAGCAACGCCGCGUGAGUGAAAGAAGGUUUUCGGAUCGUAAAACUCUGUUGUCAGAGAAGAACAAGUUGGAGAGUAACUGCUCCAGCCUUGACGGUAUCUGACCAGAAAGCCACGGCUAACUACGUGCCAGCCGCGGC